rnacentral:rRNA from 1 species
UGAGUAACACGUAUCCAACCUGCCGUCUACUCUUGGACAGCCUUCUGAAAGGAAGAUUAAUACAAGAUGGCAUCAUGAGUCCGCAUGUUCACAUGAUUAAAGGUAUUCCGGUAGACGAUGGGGAUGCGUUACAUUAGAUAGUAGGCGGGGUAACGGCCCACCUAGUCUUCGAUGGAUAGGGGUUCUGAGAGGAAGGUCCCCCACAUUGGAACUGAGACACGGUCCAA